UACGGAGGGGGCUAGCGUUGUUCGGAAUUACUGGGCGUAAAGCGCGCGUAGGCGGACCUGCAAGUCGGGGGUGAAAUCCUGGAGCUCAACUCCAGAACUGCCUUCGAUACUGGCGAUCUCGAGUUCGGGAGAGGUGAGUGGAACUGCGAGUGUAGAGGUGAAAUUCGUAGAUAUUCGCAAGAACACCAGUGGCGAAGGCGGGUCUCUGGGCCGAUACUGACGCUGAGGAGCGAAAGCGUGGGGAGCGAACAGG
rnacentral:rRNA from 1 species